UACGGGGGGGGGCAAGCGUUGUUCGGAAUUACUGGGCGUAAAGGGCUCGUAGGCGGCCAACUAAGUCGGACGUGAAAUCCCUCGGCUUAACCGGGGAACUGCGUCCGAUACUGGAUGGCUUGAGUUCGGGAGAGGGAUGCGGAAUUCCAGGUGUAGCGGUGAAAUGCGUAGAUAUCUGGAGGAACACCGGUGGCGAAGGCGGCAUCCUGGACCGACACUGACGCUGAGGAGCGAAAGUGUGGGGAGCGAACAGG
rnacentral:rRNA from 1 species